AGUUUGAUCCUGGCUCAGAUUGAACGCUGGCGGCAGGCCUAACACAUGCAAGUCGAGCGGAUGAAGGGAGCUUGCUCCUGGAUUCAGCGGCGGACGGGUGAGUAAUGCCUAGGAAUCUGCCUGAUAGUGGGGGAUAACGUUCCGAAAGGAACGCUAAUACCGCAUACGUCCUACGGGAGAAAGCAGGGGACCUUCGGGCCUUGCGCUAUCAGAUGAGCCUAGGUCGGAUUAGCUAGUUGGUGAGGUAAUGGCUCACCAAGGCGACGAUCCGUAACUGGUCUGAGAGGAUGAUCAGUCACACUGGAACUGAGACACGGUCCAGACUCCUACGGGAGGCAGCAGUGGGGAAUAUUGGACAAUGGGCGAAAGCCUGAUCCAGCCAUGCCGCGUGUGUGAAGAAGGUCUUCGGAUUGUAAAGCACUUUAAGUUGGGAGGAAGGGCUGUAGGCUAAUACCCUGCGGUUUUGACGUUACCAACAGAAUAAGCACCGGCUAACUUCGUGCCAGCAGCCGCGGUAAUA
rnacentral:rRNA from 1 species